CUGGAGAAACUGCAACUGUGUCCCCUAAGUGCCCCUUUGGAUAUGGUUCAGCUCUUAAGAAGCCCAGUGACGACCAAAAUAAACAACAGGAUGGCCAGGAGAGCAAGCCUAAACAAGAGUCUGGAGAAUCUGCAACUGUGUCACCUAAGUGUCCCUUUGGAUAUGAUAAGAAGCCUGGUGACAACCAAAAUAAACAACGAGAUGGCCAGGAGAGCAAGCCGAAACAAGAGUCUGAAGAAUCUGCAACUGUGGCACCUAAGUGCCCCUUUGGCUAUGAUUCUCAAGCAUUUAAACUGGGUCCUUUUAGCUGCAUGAUAUGUCAGGCACUUCUUUAUGAUAGCAGCAGAUGUGUGCCUUGUUCACAUGUAUUCUGCAAGUAAGUUUAAAGGGGUAACUCUUUUAUG
rnacentral:lncRNA from 1 species